UUUUCGAUUUUGUUUUUCUAAUAAGGUUUGGAUUUUUGAGUUGUGAAUUAUUGUUUUUGAGCUAAGUUUGAAGGGUCUAAUAGAUUUGAUAUUUGAGUUGUUUAUAGUACUAAACAUUAUAAACAUCUUUAGCACUUGUUGUUAAUUUCAUUAUAUUGGUAUUAAUUUUCUUUAGCUCAAUUUACAUUUUAGUUUGGAAUUUUAGUUUCAAAUUAAACAAAAGAAAAGUUUUUUAUUAAAUGGGUUAUUCGAGUCGGUUGUGUUAGGGUGGUGGAUUAGUUUUACGUGUUGUGUUUGUGUUGGCCUGUAUAGUUGAAUACUUAUUAUUCGACACGGGGACACGAACAAAUUCAAGUUUCAAAGUAAACAAAGAAAGGUUUUAUUAAAUGGGUUAUUCGAGUCGGUUGUGUUAGGGUCGAGGGAUUAGUAAACGUGUGGUGUUUGUGUUGGCCUAUACAUGAACACAACAUGAGAACAUGAAUUGCUGCCCCGAUUUAGGAGUAUCUUAUAGUUUCACUUGUUUCAAUUCAAAUUUUAUAGGAUUGAUUUGGAGCUAAUGAAAUUAUGGGGUUUAAUUUGUAAUGUUCUUAAACUAUGGCGUUUGAUUUGAAACUGCCCAUAAAAUAUAGAGGAGUGUUACGUCCACAACAUUUUCACAACAAAUCAUAUAUGGUAAGUUGUUAUUAGUUCUAAUUUGAAUCUACAACUUAAGUUACUUUUUUGCCCACCCAUAACAACCAAUAUAACCCACCACUUAGGAUUUGUUGUGAAAAUGUUGUGGACAUAGCAUUUCUCUAAAAUAUAAGGAUUAAAAUACAACUUUCCAUUUUGUUUAUGUUAUCUUCACAUUAUUACAAAUUUUCUCCUUAUUUUCUAGGUGUCUUAAUAUGUUUUGUGCCUGUGUGUGUGUGUGUGUGUGUGUUUAUAUAUAUUUCAAUUGUGGUACAAUUGCUAAAGAUCUUAGACCAUUAGAUUGGAAGAAGAGUCAUGCAAAUGUGAAAAAAGUAUAAUGGUUGUUUUCUUUUUUAGUGUGCAAGGCCAGUGGUUUGUCAUAGAAGACAUUGUACUUUGUGGAUGUGAUGUGCAGUGUUGUUUGUAAAAUAGAUACUCACCUUAUAAUUUGGAAGGUUCUUAAUAUUGACGUUGCUAUAGUAAGUAUGAUUCUGGUUAUAGAUGUGUCUGAUUUAUUCAAUUUCAUGCUUAAUUCAGAAG